CUCUGUCCACUCUGACAGAGUCUCCUUUGUAUUUGCACGGUGUACCAACAAUAUCAGGAUCACAACAACAACUUACAUUCACCAAUACACAAACAAUAUAUGCGAUGUAUUUCUAUAUAGCUAGCGAUCUUUAGAGAUGAUGCAGGUCUCUAAACACUCCUUAGGCGUUGGAUGAUGCGAUACACAGUACAAUAGUCAUCCUACUUAAAAGUGCCUUCCACCCGGAAGCUUUGUUUUUAAACUCUAUUCAAUCAUUCAUAAAAAAUUAUUCGAAAACCUUUUUAAAACUAUUUUCCACACGAAAACUUCAUCUUGAAAACCGACUACCUCGAGGGGUAGAAAAUUACGAUGUAUAAAUCCAUUACGAAAGAUCCAUAAAUCUCCAAUUAUUCAACCAAUUCCGUUUUCAUGCAUAAUAGGAAAACACCAACUCAAAUAGUUCACAAAUAUACAAACAUUAAUAGUGAUCAUCUAAUUGAACCAUUUAAUUAUUAAAACUACUAAGUGCGGAAAUGAAAUAUAAUCAGG
rnacentral:lncRNA from 1 species